CCGGAUCAGAUUAUGAUAACGUCACCAUAUCCGGAUCGGAUUUUGUGUUUAUCAGAGGGAAAGGAUGAGAUGGAAAUUGAAGAAGGAGGCUGAGCAACAGCUUAAGGAUUCAGGGAAACAGCUCUUACAUAUACAUCCCCCGGCUUCCGUCAAUCAACUCCUCCCUGUUCUUGAUGUUCCUUAGCAAGCUGAGAAACAUCUAUUCAGUUAUGAAGGCGUUUAUACAUGAUGGUAUUUCAAGACAUUCAGAUGUUGAUGUGAAGGUUGCAGACGCAGUUACUUCAUCCAUCAGUGAAAUAACAAGAAUCGCAGCACCUGAUGCACCCUACAAUGAUGAACAAAUGAGGGAUGCAUUCGGUUGAUUGUUUCUUCGGUUAACUGGUUCUUAUAACAAAAGUGUCUCAAUUCUUGAAACCUUUUCUGAAGUCGAAUCAUUUCUCAUCAUGAUUGAUCUUGAAUGCGAUGAGUUGAUUGAAUGAUUGUGAACAUGCUUCUUUCUACAUUUUCUUGGAUCAUUAUUCAUAAGGUGUGUUGUAGAUCUUUAUGUAUUAUGUACAAACUUAGAGUGGGUUAUACAAGAAAUAGGAAUACUUUCAUUUAUUUGUUUAUUAAUAUUUAUAGCUUCGAACUUUCA